rnacentral:rRNA from 1 species
UCGCCUCUUGACACCCAUAAGAGGUCCAGCCUGCCCAGUGACUCUGUUCAACGGCCGCGGUAUCCUAACCGUGCGAAGGUAGCGUAAUCACUUGUUCUUUAAAUGAGGACUAGUAUGAAUGGCACCACGAAGGUUAUACUGUCUCCUUUUUCUAAUCAGUGAAACUAAUCUUCCCGUGAAGAAGCGGGAAUAAAAAUAUAAGACGAGAAGACCCUAUGGAGCUUUAAACAAACAUACAAUUGCCUUCUUUUAUGAAUAUUUCAGAAGAAAACUUUUAUUUAGGCAUUUUGAUAUAGAGUUUUAGGUUGGGGUGACCACGGAGUAAAAAACAACCUCCGCAAUGAAAGGGGCUCUUCCCCUAAGCUAAGGGUUACAACCCUAAGAAUCAAAAAAUUGACACCAAUUGACCCAAUAUACUUGAUCAAUGAACCAA